GGAAGUAAAAGUCGUAACAAGGUCUCCGUAGGUGAACCUGCGGAGGGAUCAUUACACAAAUAUGAAGGCGGGCUGGAACCUCUCGGGGUUACAGCCUUGCUGAAUUAUUCACCCUUGUCUUUUGCGUACUUCUUGUUCCCUUGGUGGGUUCGCCCACCACUAGGACAAACAUAAACCUUUUGUAAUUGCAAUCAGCGUCAGUAACAAAUUAAUAAUUACAACUUUCAACAACGGAUCUCUUGGUUCUGGCAUCGAUGAAGAACGCAGCGAAAUGCGAUAAGUAGUGUGAAUUGCAGAAUUCAGUGAAUCAUCGAAUCUUUGAACGCACAUUGCGCCCUUUGGUAUUCCAAAGGGCAUGCCUGUUCGAGCGUCAUUUGUACCCUCAAGCUUUGCUUGGUGUUGGGCGUCUUGUCUCUAGCUUUGCUGGAGACUCGCCUUAAAGUAAUUGGCAGCCGGCCUACUGGUUUCGGAGCGCAGCACAAGUCGCACUCUCUAUCAGCAAAGGUCUAGCAUCCAUUAAGCCUUUUUUUCAACUUUUGACCUCGGAUCAGGUAGGGAUACCCGCUGAACUUAAGCAUAUCAAUAAGCGGAGGA
rnacentral:rRNA from 1 species